AAGUCGUAACAAGGUUUCCGUAGGUGAACCUGCGGAAGGAUCAUUAAUGAAAUGCAAGGACGUUCUUUUUAGAAGUCCGACCCAAAUCAUAUUCUUACACUGUGCACAUACUACUUUUUACACCAUUUUUUAACGCAUAAGUCUAAGAAUGUAAACAGUCUCUUAGUUGAGCAUAAAUAAACAAA
rnacentral:misc_RNA from 1 species